rnacentral:rRNA from 1 species
AACGAACGCUGGCGGCAUGCCUAACACAUGCAAGUCGAACGAGACCUUCGGGUCUAGUGGCGCACGGGUGCGUAACGCGUGGGAACCUGCCCUUAGGGUUGGCAUAACUCCCCGGCAGGGGUGCUAAUACCGGAUAAUGUCUUCGGACCAAAGAUUUAUCGCCUUUGGAUGGGCCCGCGUUGGAUUAGCUAGUUGGUAGGGUAAAAGCCUACCAAGGCGACGAUCAAUAGCUGGUAUGAGAGGAUGAUCAGCCACACUGGGACUGAGACACGGCCCAGACUCCUACGGGAGGCAGCAGUGGGGAAUAGUGGACAAUGGGCGAAGGCCUGAUCCAGCAAUGCCGGGUGAGUGAUGAAGGCCGUAGGGUUGUAAAGCUCUUUUACCCGGGAUGAUAAUGACAGUACCGGGAGAAUAAGCUCCGGCUAACUCCGUG